rnacentral:tRNA from 1 species
GGUCGAAUGGUCUAGUUGGUUAUGACGGCGCCUUAACACGGCGCAGGUCCGCGGUUCAAUCCCGUGUUCGAUCA